AAACCAACAGGGAUUGCCUUAGUAACUGCGAGUGAAGCGGCAAGAGCUCAAAUUUGAAAUCUGGCACCUUCGGUGUCCGAGUUGUAAUUUGUAGAAGCAUCUUUUGGAUUGGUCCUUGCAUAUGUUCCUUGGAACAGGACAUCAUAGAGGGUGAGAAUCCCGUUCAUGGUGGGGAAUCCAAUUCUUUGUAAAGUGCUUUCGAAGAGUCGAGUUGUUUGGGAAUGCAGCUCUAAGUGGGUGGUAAAUUCCAUCUAAAGCUAAAUAUUGGCGAGAGACCGAUAGCGAACAAGUACAGUGAUGGAAAGAUGAAAAGAACUCCGAAAGGAGAGUGAAAAAGGACGUGAAAUUGUUGAAAGGGAAGUGCUUGAGAUCAGUCUUAAGGUUUAGUGAUCAGUCUUCCUUUUGGUUGGUGCACUCACUAUUUCUUAGGCCAACAUCAGUUUUGGCGGCAGGAUAAUGGCAUUGGAAUGUGGCUCUUUCGGGAGUGUUAUAGCCUUUGUUGAUACUGCCUGCUUAGACUGAGGACUGCGCUUUUGCUAGGAUGUUGGCAUAAUGAUCUUAAGCAGC
rnacentral:rRNA from 1 species